ACCGCCCUCACAGCGGCGGGAAAGGCGGGCUGCGGCCGCCUGGCGCAGCCCCAUCCACCGUCCUGUCAGGAGAGACAGCGGCUGGCGUUCUCUCACCUCAGCCCUGAGCCCUUCAGCCCUUUCCCAAGACCCUGCUCCGCUUCCAGAAAGGGCAAGAGCCGCCUUCACAACUCCGUGCUGUCAAACCCCCCUCACAGUACCCAUCGAGCCUCCGGCCGGGACGGAUUUCCACAUGUGAGAGAUGGCAGGAAAUCCUCCUCCCGAAGCGCGACGGGUGUGAGCAGCAACUGAUCGGUCCUUGCAGAUGACUGGCAAUUCCAGAGGACUUCGAGGGAUCGUCACACCAUCUAACCUGGAUCCCACGCGUUGUUGAAGCGCCCGCCUCUGCAGUAAUGUUUUGCCUCCUAGUGGAGAGCGCCAACAGAGAAAAACCCGCCUUGGAAAAACUGUGAGUGCUGUUUGCUUGUAAAAGAGAAACAACAGAUUAUUUGUUUGCAAAAGGUUUGGAUUAUUGUAAUUCAAGGGUAGAUUGUGUGGAGAAAUGGAAUUCACGCUGCUUCUUAGUCCCUCAACUGUAAUCCAGUAGAAAUAAAUGCUUAGUGUUUUUAUUUCAGCCA